GCACAUCUGGCUGGCACUCGCAGUCACCACAGUGCCUGGAAACUUCUAGGACAGCAAGAUCCUGACCUACCAGCAUGGGAUCCCGACCUCUCUCUCCAACACAGGCCAGCAGUGGGACUUCCCCAAUGCCUGGGCUCCCUUGCAGGACUUGAUCGUCAGAGGCUUGGCCAAGUCAGCUUCCCCCGGCACCCAGGAAGUAGCUUUUCAGCUGGCCCAGAAUUGGAUCAGAACCAACUUUGACGUCUACACCCAAAAGUCAGUCAUGUAUGAGAAGUAUGACAUCAGCGAUGGUGGACAGCCAGGUGGUGGAGGGGAGUAUGAAGUUCAGG